ensembl:lncRNA
CAAGGUCAUUGGCCACUGAUAAAAUGACGUCAAAUCACGUUAUAUCUCCCGGAGCUUUGAUUGGUCUGUUCAUGUCAACAUCAUACAUUCAAAACCUUAGCUAGCAAGCUAGACAAGCAUUCAUCACCAUGAAUCAUGUCAACAAUCUACUGGCAAAUCCUUCUCAAUCCUUGUCAUAUGAAGAGAAAUUAUACUGUAGAUAAAAUGUAUCUGUGGUCAUUGGCCAUAAACAUUACACAACAAGGCAGAAAUCACAAAUUCAACAAUGAGUGGUUUGGAAGGAAUCUGGCUAACUGGAAGCGUUGCAAAGCAAUCACUAUUUUGCUUCCCCUGCUAUUCGUUUGAGAGGAUAUGUGGUCCAAGUCUUGGUUUAAGGAUUUAAAACAUCUGUCUGAAAGGGUUUGUUUUCCAAGCUAAAAAGGAUAAACAUUCAUUUUGUAACACCAUGGACCAGAAAAGGUUGAAUACAUUGGCCAUGCUGUCAAUCCAGCAUGACUUCUGCCUCGUUCAAAACAACUAGAAACUCGGAACUGGGAAAUCUCAGACUUCAGUGAGUUCAAGACAACUGGGAACUCGGAAGAAAACGAGCUCCAACUGGGAAAAUACGUUUUCAGCAUCCAAGUCGGGAACUUGGGCCUCUUUCUAGAGCUCCGACCUGAAGAUCACUGACGUCAUGAUUCAAACAGUUGUCUUGAAAACACCAUAAAUCCAGAGAAUGCCAGAUGACAAAGUUUGAUGACAAAAUUUGCCCACAAGAAGGACUGCUGCGCCACCCUCCUGUUCAAGUGAGCACAGCACAACGAUCCUCUCAAGCUCUGUCAGGUCGGAUGGGGAGUGUCGCUGCACAGCUAUUUUUUGGUCUCUCCAGAGAUGUUCGAUCGGGUUCAAGUUCGGGCUCUGGCUGGGCCACUCAAGGACAUUCAGAGACUUGUCCUGAAGCCAUUGCUGCUUGUCCCGAAGCCUUGGAAGGUGAACAUUCAACCCAGUCUGAGGUCCUGAGCACUCCGGAGCAGGUUUUCAUCAAGGAUCUCUCUGUACAUUGCUCUGUUUAUCUUUCCCUGGAUUCUGACUAGUCUCCCAGUACCUGCAUCUGAACAAUAUCCCCACAGCAUGAUGCUGCCAGCACCAUGCUUCACCGUAGGGAUGGUGCCAGGUUUCCUCCAGAUGUGACGCUUGGCAUUCAGUCCAAAAGAGUUUUGUUUCUCAUGGUCUGAGAGUACUUUAAGUGCCUUUUGGUAAACUCCAAGUGGGCUGUCAAGUGCCUCUUACUGGGGAGUCGCUGCAGAUAUUGUUGUCCUUCUGGAAGGUUCUCCCAUCUCCACAGAGGAACUUUGGAGUUCUGUCAGAGUGACCAUCGGGUUCUUGGUCACCUCCCUAAAAUUUCUAAAAACCUGUUUUCACUUUGUCAUCAUGGGGUAUUGUGUGUAGAUUGAUGAGAAUAUUUAAAUCCAUUUUAGAAUAAGACUGUAAUGUAACAACAUUUGGAAAAAGUCAAGGGGUCUGAAUGCUUUUUGAAUGUACUGUAUGCUUACUGCAGCUAAGAAAGUAAUAGUAAGUGUAUGUUGUGUAGUAAGCUGUUAGUAGCCCAUGUGCCUCACCCUAAUAAUUUGGUCCCUUUCCCCCUCAUAUCUUAGCCCACUGUUCUGACUUGGGGGUGCACAUGUAGCCUAUAGCCUGUUUUAUGGAAAUGUCAUCAUCAAAUAUUGUAAGAGCUUUCAUUGUCUGCUUAAAUGCCCCCUUUUAUUCAUCCUAUGGUUCUGACUUGGUGUACAGGGAGAAUACUGUAAGAACGGCCCAUGUUCUGAAUUCUGUCUCUGUACAAUUCAAAAGUGCUGAACAAAUAAUUAUUUUGACUAGACCCGUCUUAGCUCGCUCAUUGUCUUAAUCGAAAUUAUGGAUUGCCUCUUAUCUGCUCAUCGUUCCCUUAUACCAUAGUUUGUACAUCUCAAUUGUCAGUAAAAAACACAUUCGUUUAAGCAAGUCAGCC